rnacentral:rRNA from 1 species
GACGAACGCUGGCGGCGCGCUUAACACAUGCAAGUCGAACGGAAAGGCCUGCUUUCCCUUGUGGAUUGCGGGUACUCGAGUGGCGAACGGGUGAGUAACACGUGAGUGAUCUGCCCCCAACUUGGGUAUAAGCCUGGGAAACUGGGUCUAAUUCCCGAUAGGACUGCAGGGUGGUGCCUGUGGUGGAAAACGAUUUUCUAGUGGUUGGGGAUGAGCUCGCGGCCUAUCAGCUUGUUGGUGGGGUAAUGGCCUACCAAGGCGGCGACGGGUAGCCGGCCUGAGAGGGUGGACGGCCACAUUGGGACUGAGAUACGGCCCAGACUCCUACGGGAGGCAGCAGUGGGGAAUAUUGCACAAUGGGCGGAAGCCUGAUGCAGCGACGCCGCGUGGGGGAUGACAGCCUUCGGGUUGUAAACUCCUUUCGACCGCGAGGAAGCCACCUGGUUGGAAGGGUGGUGACGGUAGUGGUAGAAGAAGCACCGGCUAACUACGU